rnacentral:rRNA from 1 species
UACGGAGGGGACUAGCGUUGUUCGGAAUUACUGGGCGUAAAGCGCACGUAGGCGGAUUUGUAAGUCAGGGGUGAAAUCCCGGGGCUCAACCUCGGAACUGCCUUUGAUACUGCAAAUCUCGAGUCCGGAAGAGGUGAGUGGAAUUCCUAGUGUAGAGGUGAAAUUCGUAGAUAUUGGGAAGAACACCGGUGGCGAAGGCGGCGAGCUGGCCUGUACCUGACGCUGAGGCGCGACAGCGUGGGGAGCAAACAGG